GACGAACGCUGGCGGCGUGCUUAACACAUGCAAGUCGAACGGAAAGGCCCUGCUUUUGUGGGGUGCUCGAGUGGCGAACGGGUGAGUAACACGUGAGUAACCUGCCCUUGACUUUGGGAUAACUUCAGGAAACUGGGGCUAAUACCGGAUAGGAGCUCCUGCUGCAUGGUGGGGGUUGGAAAGUUUCGGCGGUUGGGGAUGGACUCGCGGCUUAUCAGCUUGUUGGUGGGGUAGUGGCUUACCAAGGCUUUGACGGGUAGCCGGCCUGAGGGGGUGACCGGCGUGGGUGGGAGGGCGCGUCGGCAGAGCUGCGGAGGGGGAGCGGAUGGGGUGAGUGUAGGACAGUGGGGGCAUGAUGGCUGAGGCACGGCUGGGGGGGGGUUGACGGCCUGCGGGUUGUAAAGCGCGUUCGUGUGGGAGGGGGGGUGGGGGAGGGUGGUGGGAAAAGAAGACUCGGCUAACUGCGUGCAAGCGGAUGCUGUAAGAGGCGGAAGAGAAUACCUCUGACC
rnacentral:rRNA from 1 species